UACGUAGGGGGCAAGCGUUGUCCGGAUUUAUUGGGCGUAAAGCGCGUGUAGGCGGCCAGGUAGGUCUGCUGUGAAAACUCGAGGCUCAACCUCGAGAUGUCGGCGGAAACCCUCUGGCUAGAGUCCGGAAGAGGAGAGUGGAAUUCCCGGUGUAGCGGUGAAAUGCGCAGAUAUCGGGAAGAACACCCGUGGCUAAGGCGGCUCUCUAGUACGGUACUGACGCUGAGACGCGAAAGCGUGGGGAGCGAACAGG
rnacentral:rRNA from 1 species